GUUUAUCAAAAACAUGUCUUUUAGAGUUUAAUUUAAAGUUUGACCUGCCCACUGAAUUUUAAAUGGCCGCAGUAUUUUAACUGUGCAAAGGUAGCAUAAUCAUUAGUCUUUUAAUUGAAGGCUGGAAUGAAUGGUUGGAUGAAAUAUUAACUGUUUCAUAGAAAUUUUUAAUAGAAUUUUAUUUUUUAGUUAAAAAGCUAAAAUUUUAUUAAAAGACGAGAAGACCCUAUAAAUCUUUAUAUUUUAUUGGGGUGAUAUUAAAAUUUAAUUAACUUUUAAUUUAUAAUUUACAUUAAUUAAUGAAUUAUUGAUCCGCUAUUUGUGAUUAGAAAAUUAAGUUACUUUAGGGAUAACAGCGUAAUUUUUUUAGAGAGUUCAUAUUCAUAAAAAAGAUUGCGACCUCGAUGA
rnacentral:rRNA from 1 species